AUGUUCAAAGGAAAGAAGGUCAAGGAGAAAGAGAUGGCCCUGGCCCCUGCCAUCAUGGAGAAACAGGAGCCCACAAGGUGGUGGCGGGGUGACAGGAGAGUCCUUUGAGAAAAUAACUGAGAACAUCAGCAUUGGGAAGGACAUCUAGCCCAAAAGAGAUAUGAUAUACUUUUUCAAAUGCCUCUGCUACAUCAGGCUACACCAGCAAAGGUCCAUCCUCUGUAAGUGGUUCAAAGUACUUCCUGCCAUUAACCAGUUCACAUAGGCACUGUGCAAACAGCUACUCAGCUGCUUAAGCUUGCCCACAAGUACAGGCCACAGACAAAGCAGCAGAAGAAGAAGCAAAGGCUACUGACCUGUGCUGAGAAGAAAGCUGCUGGCAAAGAGGAUGUCCCAACUAAGAAACAACCUGUCCUCCGAGCAGGACUCAAUACAGUCACCACCUUGGUGGAGAAUAAGAAAGUUCAACCGGUGGUGAUUGCCCAUGACAUAGACUACAAUGAUUUGGUGGUGUUUCUGCUUGUCCUGUGUUGAAAGAUGGGGUCCCCUACAGCAUCAUCAAAGGAAAGGCCCGGCUGGGGUGGCUGCUUCAUGCACCACUGUUGCCUUCACACAGGUUCACUCAGAAGACAAGGGUGCUCUGGCUAAACUAGUGAACACUAAUUUAAAAAAAAAUGUUUCAUUUAUUUAUAUUCCAAAUGUUACCCCCUUCCUGAUCCGCCCUCCAAGAGUUCCUCACCCCCUCCUCCUCCCCUUUGCCUCUGAGAUGGUGCUCCCAUAUUCACCUACUCCCUCUUCUCCCAACCCCACAUCCCCCUUUCCUGAGGCAUCAAGUCUCUACAGCAUUACAUGUGAUUAAUCCUCCCACUGAGGCCAGACACGGCAGAACUCUGCUAUGUAUGUGCUGGGGCCACAGUGGAAGCUAUUAGAACCAAUUACAACAACAGAUAAGGUGAGAUCUGCUACCACUGGGGGUGGGGGGUAAUA
rnacentral:lncRNA from 1 species